rnacentral:lncRNA from 1 species
AGACUGUCUGGGUCCCCUAGGAUGUCGUAGCUACCCCUCAGGAGCCAGCCCAGCACCGUGUCUGUAGCAAGUGAACUCUGGGGAGGAAGAGGAGAGACCCUCACCCAGCUGUGAAGGAGCUAAACUCCUGCUCUUACUGUUCUCCAGCCUUCCCGGGAAAUGCCUCUGACUGUGUUCAUGCUUUCAGAGGAUUCCCUGACUAGCAUCGUAGCAGCACCACUCCGCUCUCACCCAUGCUUGUGGUUUCUUACUUUCCUAGCCCCAGACUUCACUAUGUCUGCCCCUAUCUCAGGGACCAUAUCAUUCACAUACUCCAUCCAGUGCCCACUUCUGGGUGUAUAUACCAGCAUGUUACUCGAGCUUCAGCUUCCAGCUUACCCCACCCCUGGGGCCAGCCUGACACAUUGUCCCUGCCCCAUACUGUAUUCUCUACCCAGUGGUCUGGGCUUAGCUCUUCCUGACUGUGCCUUAUUUAUAAACAGAAAAGCAGUUUUCUUGAGCAUCCCUGAAGACACCCAACCUACUCUUGAGGCAUUACUGUGA